UACGUAGGGGGCGAGCGUUGUCCGGAUUUAUUGGGCGUAAAGAGCGUGUAGGCGGCCAGGUAGGUCUGCUGUGAAAACUCGAGGCUCAACCUCGAGACGUCGGCGGAAACCAUCUGGCUAGAGUCCGGAAGAGGAGAGUGGAAUUCCUGGUGUAGCGGUGAAAUGCGCAGAUAUCAGGAGGAACACCGGUGGCGAAGGCGGGUCUCUGGGCCGAUAUUGACGCUGAGGCGCGAAAGCCAGGGGAGCAAACGGG
rnacentral:rRNA from 1 species